ACUACUACUACUACUACUACUACGACGACGACGUAUAUCAAUCUAUGCAAAUUAUUUUGUUGCUUGAAAAAUAAUCAAUGAACUGAUGUGCAAUAUUUUGUGGAAUUUUAGAUUCAAGAAGGUGAUCUAAUUAGAGGUUCAGAUGAUCUGGAGAAACUAGAAGAGUGAACUGCUGCUUUUGGAUUGGUGGAUCCUGCUUUGCUGUUGCAAUGCUGUUUUUCGUAAUCCUCAUUUUGGUGUCUGAUCUCCUUCAGCAUUGCUGUUACAUCUUUCAUUGUGGGUCGUUCCCCUGGGGAAGGGUUCACACAGAGUAGCGCCACCCCAAGCACCUGAAGCAUUUCUUGAAGCUGAGUGCCUGAUCGAAGAAGUAGCUGCUGGUCUAGAAUUGUUGUGAAUUCUCUUUUUCUUUCCCGGAGUUCUUUGUUGACCCAAGCUAAAAUGUGGGCACCUUCAGGAAUCCUGUUGUCAGUUGGUUCUUUCCCUGUUAACACUUCCAGAAGAACUACACCAUAGCUGAACACAUCACUCUUCUCUGUGAUUCUGAAACUGUAUCCAUAUUCCGGAGCAAUGUAUCCAUAAGAACCGGCAAUGGUGUUAGAAGCUAUAGAACACUCUGCAGCAUCAACAAGCUUCGCAAGUCCAAAAUCUGCUAGAAAAGCUUCAAACUGUGGCCCUACCAAGAUAUUAUUUGCCUUGAUAUCACGAUGUACAAUUGGAGGAGUACAAUCAUGGUGAAGAUAAGCCAGACCAUGAGCUGCCCCUAGUAUGAUCUUGUAUCUUGCAUCCCAAUCCAAGAACAGCUUCUUCUCGUGGAGUAAUCCAGCCAAACUUCCAUUGCUGAUAUAGUCAAACAAAAGCAAUCUGGUUUUUCCAUUGUUACAACAUCCUAGGAGCCUUACUAUAUUUUUAUGUCUUAUUGAUCCAAGAGUUCUAACUUCAGCAGAAAACCAGUCCCUCUCUGGAAAUUCACCAUUCUUCACUGGCCAGAGCUUUUUGACUGCAAUAACCUGUUUCAAUGGAGUCUCAACACGAUAAACAAUCCCUGAACAGCCUUUUCCAAUGACGUUUGAAUCUGAGAGUCUGGUUACUAUAUCGUUGACAGAGAAGUUAAGCUUUUGAAAUGGGGUGAAAUCCCAUUCCAAUAUAUUUUCUUCAUUAUUCCUUGCAAAUGCAGCUCGGCGAAUUCUGGUAAAGAGAAGCAGUCCCACGAGCACAACCAACAACGUUACUGUUAAACUGAGAAGAGUACACAUGACUAGAUGUCGGGUGUUCUUGACAUGGCGAUUUCCACUUAAGGGGCACUUGUUUCUGUUAAUGCAGAGCUCUGGAUUUCCGGCAUAUGCAAUGGCAGGGAUAUCAUGGAAGAACUUAGUAUCAGGAAGGAAACCUGAAAAUUUGUUGUAUGAGACAUCCAGAGAGACGAGAUUGUCAAGACUACCAAGUACUGUGAGUGUUCCUGUGAGCUUGUUGUGAGAGAGAUCUAAGUUGGCAAGUUUUGAGAGGUUUGCAAAGCUGUCUGGAAUCGGACCCGUUAGAUAGUUCCUACUCAAAUUCAAGAGGAUGUCUAGCCCCUGCAAGUGACCAAUCUGUCCUGGGAUUGAACCAGAUAGUCUGUUCCUGCUCAUAUCUAGCAACUGCAGAUCCCGACAGAGGCCAAGUGACUUGGGAAUCAAACCAGUGAUGUAGUUUUCACUGAUUACCAGUUUGUUUAAAGAUGUAAGCUUGCCCAAGUUUUCAGGGAUGGUGCCUGAUAUACUGUUCAUUGAAAGGUCUAAAACAUUUAGAUUAACAAGGAAUUCAAGAGUUCUCGGAAUGAUUCCUUGAAGCCUAUUUCCAUGCAAGUCAACCAUUUCUAGCUGAGUGCAAUUUCCAAUUUCAUGAGGAAUACAUCCAGUAAAUUGAUUAUCAGACAAUUCGAGGAAGCUCAAGUUAUGUAAGAACCCUAUUUCUGGUGGAAUUUGACCAGUAAAGUUGUUUGAUCCCAGUCGCAAACGGAUCAAACCAAUGCAGUUGCCAAUAUCAGAUGGAAUUUCACCUGAAAGUCCAUUUGAUAACAGCAGCAAUUGGGUUAAGUUGUUGAGAUGAAAGAGAGAAUGUGGAACUGACCCAUUGAGGAUGUUGUGAGAAAGAUCUAGUGCUUGAAGUUUCUCACAGUUGGCUAGCUCAGAGGGUAUGCUUCCAUGGAGCUGGUUCUGCCAGGCAUAGAACAACGAAAGCUCCUUUAGUUGCCCAAUGGCAGCUGGAAUCUCACCAGAGAAUUUGUUAUUAUCCAGUUCAAGCUGCUUCAGAGCAGAAAAAUUCCCAACAAAAGCUGGGAUUUCUCCCGAAAUAUAAUUAUAAGACAAAAGAAGCUCCUCCAAUGCUACUAUCGUGACCAGAGACACAGGAACCCCACCGGUUAGAGAAUUCAUCGAGAGAUCAAUGAUUUUCAAAACUGAGCAGUUUCCCAGAGCUGCUGGAAUGCUCCCAGUUAGAUUGUUCUGCCACAACAACAGCCUCUUGAGAUUUUGUAAUGAAGCCAGUUCAUCGGGAAUGUUGUCUGAGAGUUGGUUUUCAUAAAGGAAGAGAUCUUCUAAGGCUGAGCAAUUACCAAUUUCUGGUGGGAUGUUACCAGUGAGAUUAGCUGUAUAAACUGAUAGAGUCUUGAGAUACUUCAUUUGCCCUAUGCUACUCGGAAUCUGUCCUGAAAUCCCCGUGUCUGCAAGACCCAAAUAGAGUAGCCCUUUGCAGUUUGAUAUCUGCAUUGGUAUUUCACCAUGAAUUCCUGGGUUCCCACCAGCGCGAAAAAUCUCCAGGGCUAACAACUGGCCUAUUUCUGCAGGAAGCUUUCCAGAGAGCUGGUUAUCAAACAGUUCAAGCUGUCUAAGCGCUGAACAGUUUCCUAUUUCCCCUGGAAUCUCACCAUGAAGCAAAUUCGAAUCCAAUGAAAGUGACUGCAAUUGAGACAGUUUUCCAAUUUCUACUGGGAUUUUUCCUGAUAAAGCAUUGAAACUGAGGUCCAGGGUGAUCAGUGAGGAUAGGUUUCCUAUGGAAGGAGGAAUUUCUCCCGUGAGGUUCCCAUGGGAAAGGAUAAGAGUAGUGAGAUGGUCAAAGGAGAGGAGCUGGGUGGGGAAGCUGGUAGGAAGUUUGAUGGAGGUGAUUGUUAUGUCUGUGACAAACCCAUUCCUAGAACAUUUGACAUACUUCCAUUUGCAUGGAUUUUGGUGGCUUGGAUCCCAUGAAGAGAAAAAAGUAUAUGAAGAAGAAGAAUUGAAGGUUGAAAGCCAUGAAAGUAGAGAAUGACCUUCUUGGUUCAGUGCAGAGAUGGCCGGAAAAAGAGAUAUGUUGAGAAACAAGAGAAAAAUAGUGAUUGCAUUGCUUGACAUCAUGAGGUUGGUACUGUCUGCUACUGUGCUAUCUCAUUUAAUUAUAGCACAUCCAGCCUCCCAAAUUUCUAUUAGUUUUCUUUUUAUGAGAUUCAGAUACUGAAAUACCCUUGGUUUAAUCCAUAUUUACUGACAGAAUACUUUCUGUAAACAUGAAAUCCUUCCCCUUUUCUCGUGCAUACCAUGACUUUUUUUUUUUUUUAACGGGUAAUUGGGGAUGUGAAAAGUUAUCUUCCUCUAAUUUAUCCCAAAAUUCUAUUCUAUUAAAA
rnacentral:misc_RNA from 1 species